rnacentral:rRNA from 1 species
UUGUCUCAAAGAUUAAGCCAUGCAUGUCUCAGUACAAGCCGCAUUAAGGUGAAACCGCGAAAGGCUCAUUAAAUCAGUUAUGGUUCCUUAGAUCGUACCCACAUUUACUUGGAUAACUGUGGUAAUUCUAGAGCUAAUACAUGCAAACAGAGUUCCGACCGGAGACGGGAGGAACGCUUUUAUUAGAUCAAAACCAAUCGGCGGCGGGCGCGCCUCGCGCUCGCCCGUUCGCCGCUCAACCUGGUGACUCUGAAUAACUUCGAGCUGAUCGCACGGUCCAGCACCGGCGACGCAUCUUUCAAAUGUCUGCCUUAUCAACUGUCGAUGGUAGGUUCUGCGCCUACCAUGGUCGUAACGGGUAACGGGGAAUCAGGGUUCGAUUCCGGAGAGGGAGCCUGAGAAACGGCUACCACAUCCAAGGAAGGCAGCAGGCGCGCAAAUUACCCACUCCCGGCACGGGGAGGUAGUGACGAAAAAUAACGAUACGGGACUCAUCCGAGGCCCCGUAAUCGGAAUGAGUACACUUUAAAUCCUUUAACGAGGACCAAUUGGAGGGCAAGUCUGGUGCCAGCAGCCGCGGUAAUUCCAGCUCCAAUAGCGUA